rnacentral:rRNA from 1 species
UAUCAUUAACUGAAUCCAUAGGUUAAUGAGGCGAACCGGGGGAACUGAAACAUCUAAGUACCCCGAGGAAAAGAAAUCAACCGAGAUUCCCCCAGUAGCGGCGAGCGAACGGGGAGGAGCCCAGAGCCUGAAUCAGUGUGUGUGUUAGUGGAAGCGUCUGGAAAGGCGCGCGAUACAGGGUGACAGCCCCGUACACAAAAAUGCACAUAUUGUGAGCUCGAUGAGUAGGGCGGGACACGUGGUAUCCUGUCUGAAUAUGGGGGGACCAUCCUCCAAGGCUAAAUACUCCUGACUGACCGAUAGUGAACCAGUACCGUGAGGGAAAGGCGAAAAGAACCCCGGCGAGGGGAGUGAAAAAGAACCUGAAACCGUGUACGUACAAGCAGUGGGAGCCUCUUAAUGGGGUGACUGCGUACCUUUUGUAUAAUGGGUCAGCGACUUAUAUUCUGUAGCAAGGUUAACCGAAUAGGGGAGCCGAAGGGAAACCGAGUCUUAACUGGGCGUUAAGUUGCAGGGUAUAGACCCGAAACCCGGUGAUCUAGCCAUGGGCAGGUUGAAGGUUGGGUAACACUAACUGGAGGACCGAACCGACUAAUGUUGAAAAAUUAGCGGAUGACUUGUGGCUGGGGGUGAAAGGCCAAUCAAACCGGGAGAUAGCUGGUUCUCCCCGAAAGCUAUUUAGGUAGCGCCUCGUGAAUUCAUCUCCGGGGGUAGAGCACUGUUUCGGCAAGGGGGUCAUCCCGACUUACCAACCCGAUGCAAACUGCGAAUACCGGAGAAUGUUAUCACGGGAGACACACGGCGGGUGCUAACGUCCGUCGUGAAGAGGGAAACAACCCAGACCGCCAGCUAAGGUCCCAAAGUCAUGGUUAAGUGGGAAACGAUGUGGGAAGGCCCAGACAGCCAGGAUGUUGGCUUAGAAGCAGCCAUCAUUUAAAGAAAGCGUAAUAGCUCACUGGUCGAGUCGGCCUGCGCGGAAGAUGUAACGGGGCUAAACCAUGCACCGAAGCUGCGGCAGCGACACUAUGUGUUGUUGGGUAGGGGAGCGUUCUGUAAGCCUGUGAAGGUGGCCUGUGAGGGUUGCUGGAGGUAUCAGAAGUGCGAAUGCUGACAUAAGUAACGAUAAAGCGGGUGAAAAGCCCGCUCGCCGGAAGACCAAGGGUUCCUGUCCAACGUUAAUCGGGGCAGGGUGAGUCGACCCCUAAGGCGAGGCCGAAAGGCGUAGUCGAUGGGAAACAGGUUAAUAUUCCUGUACUUGGUGUUACUGCGAAGGGGGGACGGAGAAGGCUAUGUUGGCCGGGCGACGGUUGUCCCGGUUUAAGCGUGUAGGCUGGUUUUCCAGGCAAAUCCGGAAAAUCAAGGCUGAGGCGUGAUGACGAGGCACUACGGUGCUGAAGCGACAAAUGCCCUGCUUCCAGGAAAAGCCUCUAAGCAUCAGGUAACAUCAAAUCGUACCCCAAACCGACACAGGUGGUCAGGUAGAGAAUACCAAGGCGCUUGAGAGAACUCGGGUGAAGGAACUAGGCAAAAUGGUGCCGUAACUUCGGGAGAAGGCACGCUGAUAUGUAGGUGAAGCGACUUGCUCGUGGAGCUGAAAUCAGUCGAAGAUACCAGCUGGCUGCAACUGUUUAUUAAAAACACAGCACUGUGCAAACACGAAAGUGGACGUAUACGGUGUGACGCCUGCCCGGUGCCGGAAGGUUAAUUGAUGGGGUUAGCGGUAACGCGAAGCUCUUGAUCGAAGCCCCGGUAAACGGCGGCCGUAACUAUAACGGUCCUAAGGUAGCGAAAUUCCUUGUCGGGUAAGUUCCGACCUGCACGAAUGGCGUAAUGAUGGCCAGGCUGUCUCCACCCGAGACUCAGUGAAAUUGAACUCGCUGUGAAGAUGCAGUGUACCCGCGGCAAGACGGAAAGACCCCGUGAACCUUUACUAUAGCUUGACACUGAACAUUGAGCCUUGAUGUGUAGGAUAGGUGGGAGGCUUUGAAGUGUGGACGCCAGUCUGCAUGGAGCCGACCUUGAAAUACCACCCUUUAAUGUUUGAUGUUCUAACGUGGGCCCCUUACCGGGGUUGCGGACAGUGUCUGGUGGGUAGUUUGACUGGGGCGGUCUCCUCCUAAAGAGUAACGGAGGAGCACGAAGGUUGGCUAAUCCUGGUCGGACAUCAGGAGGUUAGUGCAAUGGCAUAAGCCAGCUUGACUGCGAGCGUGACGGCGCGAGCAGGUGCGAAAGCAGGUCAUAGUGAUCCGGUGGUUCUGAAUGGAAGGGCCAUCGCUCAACGGAUAAAAGGUACUCCGGGGAUAACAGGCUGAUACCGCCCAAGAGUUCAUAUCGACGGCGGUGUUUGGCACCUCGAUGUCGGCUCAUCACAUCCUGGGGCUGAAGUAGGUCCCAAGGGUAUGGCUGUUCGCCAUUUAAAGUGGUACGCGAGCUGGGUUUAGAACGUCGUGAGACAGUUCGGUCCCUAUCUGCCGUGGGCGCUGGAGAACUGAGGGGGGCUGCUCCUAGUACGAGAGGACCGGAGUGGACGCAUCACUGGUGUUCGGGUUGUCAUGCCAAUGGCACUGCCCGGUAGCUAAAUGCGGAAGAGAUAAGUGCUGAAAGCAUCUAAGCACGAAACUUGCCCCGAGAUGAGUUCUCCCUGACUCCUUGAGAGUCCUGAAGGAACGUUGAAGACGACGACGUUGAUAGGCCGGGUGUGUAAGCGCAGCGAUGCGUUGAGCUAACCGGUACUAAUGAACCGUGAGGCUUAACCUUACAACGCCGAAG